UAUCCGCAAACCAUCCAACCCUCCUUAUCCGGAUAAAAACCCAUAUCCACAAACACUGCGUCCCUCCCUCCCUCUGCAAUUCACUCUCCCAUUUCUCACUUGAAGAAGAUCAGCCCAAGAAAAUGGCGGUGAAGAUUCGUUUAUUUUCAUAGGCUGGGAUGCAAAAACAGGGCAUUUUACAGAAUUGUUGCUGCUGAUAGCCAUACAGAGUUAUCUGUUCACUUUUUACCAAUUUUGAAUUAAAGGAGGAGAAAACUGAUGGAUCAAUCUUUAGUUUGCAUGAAGCUCUUGUAUUGGUUAUGAGAGCUCAGCCUACAGACACCGUGCGUGGCAUUCUUAUGAGAGAUGGUUUAAUAUCGCCACCACCGAUGGUUGUUAUGGGGCAGAAAAAGGGACCAGCUGGUGAGACCUCGAAUCCAGAUAAGUAAAUUACCCUGUAAAAGUUACCAUCUCUGCUGCUUUUAUGCUUCUUCUGUUUUGUACCUGUAUGCUUGAUCCAGCACUGAAUGGGUUCAGAGCUAAAUUUCCUUUCCAGGUUGUUGAAUGAAUUCAAGUUUAAAAUUCUCUUAA